rnacentral:rRNA from 1 species
GAUGAACGCUGGCGGCGUGCCUAAUACAUGCAAGUCGAGCGAACGGACGAGAAGCUUGCUUCUCUGAUGUUAGCGGCGGACGGGUGAGUAACACGUGGAUAAACUACCUAUAAGACUGGGAUAACUUCGGGAAACCGGAGCUAAUACCGGAUAAUAUUUUGAACCGCAUGGUUCAAAAGUGAAAGACGGUCUUGCUGUCACUUAUAGAUGGAUCCGCGCUGCAUUAGCUAGUUGGUAAGGUAACGGCUUACCAAGGCAACGAUGCGUAGCCGCCCUGAGAGGGUGGUCAGCCCCCCUAGAUUGGAAACGCGACCCGGCCCCCAACGGGACGGGACGGUGCAGUGUCUUCUACAAGGGGCGAGAGCAUAGCGGGACAACGCCACGUAGGGGAUGAGGAGCUUGGGCUCUUAAAUCUCUUUUAUUGUGAAAAAACAUAUGUGUAGGUAACUGGUCACAUCUUGACGGUACCUAAUCAAAAAGCCACGGCUAACUCCGUG